rnacentral:tRNA from 1 species
UCUUCGAUGGUCUAGUGGUCAUGAUUUCCGCUUGUCAAAGAUCUCGGUCUUAACAAGCGCGGGAGACCGGGGUUCGAUUCCCCGUCGGAGAG